AGAGUUUGAUCAUGGCUCAGAUUGAACGCUGGCGGCAGGCCUAACACAUGCAAGUCGAGCGGUAGCACAGAGAGCUUGCUCUCGGGUGACGAGCGGCGGACGGGUGAGUAAUGUCUGGGAAACUGCCUGAUGGAGGGGGAUAACUACUGGAAACGGUAGCUAAUACCGCAUAAUGUCGCAAGACCAAAGUGGGGGACCUUCGGGCCUCAUGCCAUCAGAUGUGCCCAGAUGGGAUUAGCUAGUAGGUGGGGUAACGGCUCACCUAGGCGACGAUCCCUAGCUGGUCUGAGAGGAUGACCAGCCACACUGGAACUGAGACACGGUCCAGACUCCUACGGGAGGCAGCAGUGGGGAAUAUUGCACAAUGGGCGCAAGCCUGAUGCAGCCAUGCCGCGUGUGUGAAGAAGGCCUUCGGGUUGUAAAGCACUUUCAGCGGGGAGGAAGGCGGUGAGGUUAAUAACCUCAGCGAUUGACGUUACCCGCAGAAGAAGCACCGGCUAACUCCGUGCCAGCAGCCGCGGUAAUACGGAGGGUGCAAGCGUUAAUCGGAAUUACUGGGCGUAAAGCGCACGCAGGCGGUCUGUCAAGUCGGAUGUGAAAUCCCCGGGCUCAACCUGGGAACUGCAUUCGAAACUGGCAGGCUAGAGUCUUGUAGAGGGGGGUAGAAUUCCAGGUGUAGCGGUGAAAUGCGUAGAGAUCUGGAGGAAUACCGGUGGCGAAGGCGGCCCCCUGGACAAAGACUGACGCUCAGGUGCGAAAGCGUGGGGAGCAAACAGGAUUAGAUACCCUGGUAGUCCACGCCGUAAACGAUGUCGAUUUGGAGGUUGUGCCCUUGAGGCGUGGCUUCCGGAGCUAACGCGUUAAAUCGACCGCCUGGGGAGUACGGCCGCAAGGUUAAAACUCAAAUGAAUUGACGGGGGCCCGCACAAGCGGUGGAGCAUGUGGUUUAAUUCGAUGCAACGCGAAGAACCUUACCUGGUCUUGACAUCCACAGAACUUUCCAGAGAUGGAUUGGUGCCUUCGGGAACUGUGAGACAGGUGCUGCAUGGCUGUCGUCAGCUCGUGUUGUGAAAUGUUGGGUUAAGUCCCGCAACGAGCGCAACCCUUAUCCUUUGUUGCCAGCGGUUAGGCCGGGAACUCAAAGGAGACUGCCAGUGAUAAACUGGAGGAAGGUGGGGAUGACGUCAAGUCAUCAUGGCCCUUACGACCAGGGCUACACACGUGCUACAAUGGCAUAUACAAAGAGAAGCGACCUCGCGAGAGCAAGCGGACCUCAUAAAGUAUGUCGUAGUCCGGAUUGGAGUCUGCAACUCGACUCCAUGAAGUCGGAAUCGCUAGUAAUCGUAGAUCAGAAUGCUACGGUGAAUACGUUCCCGGGCCUUGUACACACCGCCCGUCACACCAUGGGAGUGGGUUGCAAAAGAAGUAGGUAGCUUAACCUUCGGGAGGGCGCUUACCACUUUGUGAUUCAUGACUGGGGUGAAGUCGUAACAAGGUAACCGUAGGGGAACCUGCGGUUGGAUCACCU
rnacentral:rRNA from 1 species